GAAAGGCCAAUCAAACUCGGAAAUAGCUGGUUCUCCGCGAAAUCUAUUUAGGUAGAGCGUCGACCUUAUACCCUCGGGGGUAGAGCACUGGAUGGGCUAUGGGGACUCACCGUCUUACUGAUCCUAACCAAACUCCGAAUACCGAGGAGUACUAGUCGGCAGACACACGGCGGGUGCUAACGUCCGUCGUGAAGAGGGCAACAACCCUGACCUCCAGCUAAGGUCCCCAAGUCAUGGCUAAGUGGGAAAGGAUGUGAGGAUCCCAAAACAACCAGGAUGUUGGCUUAGAAGCAGCCAUCAUUUAAAGAAAGCGUAACAGCUCACUGGUCUAAAUAAGGGUCUUUGCGCCGAAAAUGUAACGGGGCUAAAGCCAUGCACCGAAGCUGAGGAUUUGAGCUUAUGCUCAAGUGGUAGCGGAGCGUUCCGUAAGUCUGUGAAGGCGGACCCGUGAGGGCUGCUGGAGAUAUCGGAAGUGCGAAUGUUGACAUGAGUAACGAUAAAGGGAGUGAGAGACUCCCUCGCCGAAAGACCAAGGGUUCCUGCUUAAAGUUAAUCUGAGCAGGGUUAGCCGGCCCCUAAGACGAGGCGGACACGCGUAGUCGAUGGGAACCACGUUAAUAUUCGUGGGCCUGGUGGUAGUGACGGAUCUUGUGUGUUGUGCAUUCUUAUUGGAUUGGAUGUGCGGCGAAGAGGUUCCAGGAAAUAGCUCCACCGUAUAGACCGUACCCGAAACCGACACAGGUGGUCAGGUAGAGUAUACCAAGGCGCUUGAGAGAACUAUGUUGAAGGAACUCGGCAAAUUGCACGCGUAACUUCGGAAGAAGCGUGACCCCAUUUUAGGCAACUAUGAUGGGGUGGCACAGACCAGGGGGUAGCGACUGUUUAUCAAAAACACAGGGCUCUGCGAAGUAGCAAUACGACGUAUAGGGUCUGACGCCUGCCCGGUGCUGGAAGGUUAAAGGGAGAGGUGCAAGCUUUGAACUGAAGCCCCAGUAAACGGCGGCCGUAACUAUAACGGUCCUAAGGUAGCGAAAUUCCUUGUCGGGUAAGUUCCGACCUGCACGAAUGGCGUAACGACUUCCCCGCUGUCUCCAACAUAGACUCAGUGAAAUUGAAUUCCCCGUGAAGAUGCGGGGUUCCUGCGGUCAGACGGAAAGACCCCGUGCACCUUUACUAUAGCUUUACACUGGCAUUCGCCAAGGCAUGUGUAGGAUAGGUGGUAGGCUUUGAAGCGCGGACGCCAGUUUGCGUGGAGCCAUCCUUGAAAUACCACCCUUAUCUUCGUGGAUGUCUAACCGCGGUCCGUUAUCCGGAUCCGGGACAGUGUAUGGUGGGUAGUUUGACUGGGGCGGUCGCCUCCGAAAGAGUAACGGAGGCGCGCGAUGGUUAGCUCAGACCGGUCGGAAAUCGGUCGUCGAGUGCAAUGGCAUAAGCUAGCCUGACUGCGAGACUGACAAGUCGAGCAGAGACGAAAGUCGGUCAUAGUGAUCCGGUGGUCCCGUGUGGAAGGGCCAUCGCUCAACGGAUAAAAGGUACGCCGGGGAUAACAGGCUGAUGACCCCCAAGAGUCCAUAUCGACGGGGUUGUUUGGCACCUCGAUGUCGACUCAUCGCAUCCUGGGGCUGGAGCAGGUCCCAAGGGUAUGGCUGUUCGCCAUUUAAAGCGGUACGUGAGUUGGGUUCAGAACGUCGUGAGACAGUUCGGUCCCUAUCUGCCGUGGGUGUAGGAAUAUUGACAGGAUCUGUCCCUAGUACGAGAGGACCGGGAUGGACGUAUCUCUGGUGGAUCUGUUGUCCUGCCAAGGGCAUAGCAGAGUAGCUAUAUACGGAAUGGAUAACCGCUGAAGGCAUCUAAGCGGGAAACCAACCUGAAAACGAGUGUUCCCUAUCAGAGCCGUGGAAGACGACCACGUCGAUAGGACGGGUGUGGAAGUGCAGCAAUGCAUGAAGCUUACCGUUACUAAUAGCUCGAUCGACUUCUUCGU
rnacentral:rRNA from 1 species